GGGGGCCGAUGCACUGUAAGA
rnacentral:miRNA from 2 species